rnacentral:lncRNA from 1 species
UUACGACGUUUAGCAUUUGUAGGCAUAUUUCACCUGCCUAUAAUACUGUACUGUGGAUGGAUUGUCAAUGACGGUCGGUACGAUUUCGACUGGUUAGUCACUCGAAAAAAAAAAGUCAGUGACAUAACGGAACCGGAUGAGGAAUCAGACGAAGAAAUUGAUGACGUCAUAGAAAAUUAUAGAGAAGAUAAUUCGGACGUCGAUGAAGACGUUGAUUCCGAUGACAACUCAGCGGCUGAUUCCGAUACUGAAUAAUUUAAAUAAAAACCUUAUUUUGUAUUAUCAUCUUUAAUGAUAUCGAAUUUUUCUAAAAAAA